GGUCGUUCUGAAAAUUUCGGACAAUAAAACAAUUCUAUAAGUUUAAUUUCUAGGUCAAUUGAUUAUGUUCGAUUAAUAUGAAUGAUUAAUCAUUGUCACUCUUAUGUAUGAAUUGUACGAUAUAACAUAUGAGGUAGUAUAGAAUAUCAAAGAGUAGAACUGCACAUUCCUCUCGCCUUCUCACUUAUCGGAGUUUACAUGUGAAGUGGGGGAAAACGAUGUACCGAGUCUUUAAAAUAAUAUGGAUAUGGAGGGGCUAUUCUAUUUCCCACCGCUACAUCAGUUGCAACUGGCAAAAGGCUUGCUAGUCAUCAGCUGGUCAUCGUCAUAGAAAGCAGUACAUUAUAAUGAAAUCGGUAUUUCACUUGUCAAUACUAUUUUCUAUUGACUACUUUCAGUUAUUUAGUAGCAAUAAAAUUAUGUGAGCUAUUGUUGUUUAUUAUUGAAAGUGUGGUAAAUCAUUCUGAUGGAAAAAUUGUAAAGUGGAUGGUGCACAUCGUUAUUUGUUAUUUAAGUGAAGUUACGACUAAUUGACGUUUAUAUCUUUAAAAGUGUUCUACUUCUGUUUUGACUAUUGUUUUAUUUAUUUUUAUCAUGGAUAGGUGAAUGUUGAUGUAUUAGCAAAUAAUUAUGUGGAAUUUUCAAUCCAAAGAUAUUAAUCCAACGUCAAAAUGAUGAUAUUAAAAGAGUUCGUUAAUCAUAAGUGAUUCAUCGAUGGGACAGUGUUGUAUAAGUGAUUAAGAAAUGUCAUUUAAUUCGUUACAAUUUAGGGGAAAGUAAAUAUUUAAUGAGCGCUAAUGAUAAAUGAUGUUGUUCCAUAAUUGAAAAAAUGAAGAAUUUUGAAAAAUGACAGCGGCUUUGUGUAGAAUAUAAGUGAUUAAAAAAAUUUUGAAGAACGUUCAAUCUUUUUUUAGCUAUUUUCUAAUUUUAUUUUAUUGUAUUGUUCAGUUCAAAACUAUUCGGAAAUGUUAUUCAUUCCCUCUAUUUGCAAUGAAUUCUUCUUUUUCCAUUCACCACACAAGUAAUAUAAGGUCCAUUGACAUGAAUAUGUGACCGAUUAUUUAUAGACUGCUGCAUCAUCGGAGAAUCACUGUUUUCCCAGGGGAGCCCUUUCCGUAAUUGGCGCGUAAGCUACUCAACUGGCUCUGAUACACAUUUGAAACUGCGGUAAUGAUUCAUAACAUUUUGUUUGUUAUUUCUUUCGUGAGAAAUUUUAAUUUCAGGGUUUAAUUGAUGGAAGAAGAAAGUAGAAUUAUCAAAGGUCGAAAAGGUUGACUUGUGGUGAGACAUUGUUUUCUUGGAAAAAAUUGUAAAAAAAAUUAAUAAUAUUUUUUCAAACGAAAAAUCUAUUAUGAGAAAUUAUUUAUACACCAGUUAGAUGAUAGCGAAAGAGAGAGAGAGAGAGAGAGGAGGGAGGGGGCGAGAGAACGUGCUCUUGUCUACGUAGAACGUGUGACCAAAUAUAGGUAGGUAAUGUAAUACACAACCAAGAUGUUAAAAAUAAUUCAAGAUUUCUAACCAUGGCGAGUGCACACGACACACUGACUACGGUUUCUCAGUAAACUCUUCCAUUUGUGGUGAACAGCUAUGAAGAAUGUAUAUUUUCCCAGAGAAUUGAUCUUUGAAUGUUAAAGAAAUAAUUCAACUGGACUGUUAUAUUGUAUUGUAUUUUGUACAUCGCCAUUCUUAAUUACCCAUGAAAAAAAAAAAUUUAUCCAUUUACCCAUAUUGUUCAUUACCCAGGAACGUUCGAGAAAUAAAGGUUUUGCAUAAAUUGAACAGUUCGAUUAACAUCUUUCAUACCUGAACAGAAUGAUUCAUCAGAAUUUUUUUCAUCAUUAAGAUAUUUUAUUUUUGCAACAAUUUUAUAAUUUUAUUUAGAUCAAUUUUUAUGAUACAAUAAACAUUUUUCAUUCGUAGGAUGUUAAGACUUACAUUUAAACGUCAACUAGUAAUGGUAAAAAGAUAUCAUAUAAUUCUGUUUCACACAUUAUGCUGAAUAUUUUACCAUUUUACAAAAUCAUAUGCAUCAGAUGCACAGCAAGGAAAAUUGUUUUAUAUUUUUCUGAGAUAUUCUAAUUUAUUGUGCAUCUUUUGACCUGAAAAAUAGCUUUGCAAAUUUUGGCGAGUAUCUUGUUUGUUUUAUUGACUUUGUUGUACUUGAAAAUGAAAAACUCCCAAGUAUGGGGAAUACA